rnacentral:lncRNA from 1 species
CAUUCGUAUGCUACUUAGUGUAGCAAGACAGUGCAUAAACCCUGUUCAUCACAAAAUUUUUUACAUUAUAAUUCUGUUUUAUUGUAAGCAAUAGGUUUGCAAAUAAAUAAUUUUACAGGUUCAAACUCAAAGCAUUCAUUGGUUUAUUAAGAUAAAUUUGCAAAGCUAAUAUUGUCGGCUGCUUUCCUAGUCUAUGGUUUUGUUCUAGUUCUCUUAACUGUAUUCUUUUGUCCACCUUUUGUAUAGGAAAUAUACUAUUUUCUCCCCUUCUGUGUAUUCUUGGAAGAGGGGAUAAAUAUCAACAGUGAUGGAAUCUACUCUAAUUGCUUGCCAAGACUAAAAAUCCAUAAACAACUCUGUUUGUCAAAGGAAUGCUGCAUAAAAAUUUUCGUAAUAAUAUCCAGGAAAAUAGUCCAGGACUGGCACAACUGUUCUAGGAAGUUACCAAGGCUCUGCAAAGGCAUCUGAGGGGGAGAGCUGAUUUUAAUUGGAACUCUAAUACAAUUCCAUUACAGUCAAGGUCUGUAAAGGUGACACAUGGAAAUAGAGGACUUUGCACGUGAGGGCGAUCUGGCUGCAACAGUCUUUCAUGUCAUUGAUUGUCAGGGUUGAUUUGGCUGCUCUGGCUACCUAGGUGAGUCUCCCCUUCCUGCCUCAUUGCUCCAUGUGCAUCCUUUCUGAAGCUGCAUGCUUGGUCAAAAGGGAGGACCAUUUCCAAUAGAGGACUGGUCUUUGGUCAAGGGUAUACAAGUAACUGCACUCCCCUGCUAGAACCUCCAAAGAAGCUCUCAAGGAAAUAUAGGACCCACAAAAUAAGCCUCUCCCCAUUUUUUGUCAAUUGACAGCAGCAAAUUUUCUAUCUUAGCC